AAACCAUGAUUAGGACAUUAUCUCAAAAGGUCCUUGAACCUUUCAUGGGCCUCAAAAAGUGUUUCUGAGUCACCUUGCUUGAAAGAAGAAAUUUCCUAUCUCAAUUU